rnacentral:lncRNA from 10 species
GGAGUUUCACCAUAUUGGACAGGCUGGUCUCAAACUCCUAACCUUGUGAUCUGCCCGCCUCGGCCUCCCAAAGCACUGUGAUUAUAGGCAUGAGCCACCACACCUGGCCUGUAUUCCAUUUUUAUAAACAAUUGUGUGUGUGUGUAUUACAGUGAUAGAUUCUUUGCCUCCUUCCAACUCCCUGCAACAACAAUUGUCUCUACUGGAUACCGUAUCCUUUCAUGAGUUUAAACUUAAGUUUAUUUGCCAUGUGGAUCAAGAGUAGGACUGCUGGUUCAUAGGUUUGGAUUUCAUUUCACUCCACAUUGCUCUCUGGAUAGUUGCAUCAGUCUGUACUCCCAUCAGCAGUACAUGUGAAGUCUAGUUUUCUAAAUUUAAAAAAAAAAAUUUGUUAUUAUUUGAACAUUAUCUUCCAUCUCACUAAUGAGCACUCCUCAAAUUUAACCCUUCUGCUGUUUAUACCAUAUAUUUAAUCCUUCAUUUCAACAGAUAUGGUUUUCAUACUGAAAAAAUAUUUUAUGAUUGCUAAUUUCUUCUUCAGGUUCAAAUAUUGUGCCUUAUGUCUUUGAGAACAUUUACUAUACAUAUUUUUGGAUUUAUUUUAACUUUUUUUUUUCUUCAGAGUGUCUUUCGGUUACUCAGGCUGGAGCAAGUGCAGUGGUGACAGCCUCCUAGCUAACUGCAGCCUUGACCUCCUGGGCUCAAGAGAUUCUCCUGCCUCAGCCUCCUUGGUAACUGGGACUACAAGUGCAUGCCGCCACACCUAGCUAUUUUUUUUAAUUAUUAUUUAUUUUGUAGAGACAGGGGCUCUCUUGGUUGCCCGAGCUGAUCUCAAGCUCCUAGCUUCAAGCAAUGCUCCUGUCUUGGACUCCCAAAGUGCUGGGAUUACAGACGUAAACCACCACACAUGGUCACAUAUUUUAAACUAUUGUUAAUUUUUGUAAAUCUGGUUGUCUUUGAUAUACAUGUAUUUUAUUUUAGAGUCAUUGAAUUCCUUUGAGGCCUAUUUUUUCCUAGUAAGAUUUAUUAUGCUGAUUAAGAAUACAUGGCACUAAAAUCAGGCUCAAGAUUGACCCACCAGAAGUGUUUAGAAUGAAGGACUCCUUAGGAAAUAACUGGAUUCUGCCACCCUUUGUUUGCCUUCCUCCUCCAUAAAAGUUGGUGUAUUCACGUGUCCUGGGUGGUGCUGUUUACCAAGACUGGUCUCCCUCAGUUUUAAUCACCAUCCUAACACUCAUUGUAUGGAGUAGCUGGGUUAGAGGAGAAUGCCUAGGGUUCAGAUGGUCUUUCUGCGUUUGUCACUAUUUCCUCAUUUUCCAAGCUAGGUUGAGUCAUAUUCUGCCUGGCCGACUCCAAAAUGGCUUUAAAGGAGUUAGCAGUGGUCUCUUUUCAACUCUAGUUUUGCUAGAAUGGGAGCUCCAUUUGGUCAAAGUUUUGUCUUUCUGGCUCUGUAGUGUAUUCUCAGUAUUUAGAAGAGUGCCUUGCACACUGUGGGUACUCUAACUAUUGAAAGAGCAGAAAAAAAUACAGGAAUGCAAUGAAAAGGAAUGAUGACCACUAAAAACUUCCGCCCCAGCAUAUUCUGGUUUCCUUACAUCUCAGUUUUCUGCUCUUUGCUGUCAUUUUUUUCUCUACUCGCAGACUUUACUGUAGUUUGUAACUGCAAGGGUUUCUCACAUCUUUUAGUAUUAGAUGCUGAUUUCUGUGUCAUUUCCAGGGUUGUGGUCACAGAAAGAAGCCCACAUCAUGUUAGUUCUCCAUCUUACCAGAUAAAGCUUAGCUUAAUGUACUUCUAUGCCAAUUUCUUUGAAUAACUAAACUUUCAAUAAUUUAAUCAAUCACUGAUUAAUCCAAGAUUUGUCUCAGAUGGGGCACAACUUCCACAACCUAAUGUAGCUUCCACAACCUAAUUUUUAAUCCCCAAAAAUGAAAUUUACCGAUUAUUUUGUUAAAUCAUACAAAUAUAAAAAUUCUGAACAGUGAAAUAAAGAAAGUAUCUCAAAAGUAAGAGUACUCUUGGACAACAAUAGCUAAAAAAGUGUAACAAAUAUGAAAAUAUGCAGGCUCUGUCUCUGACCUUUAAUCAUUCUAUACUUCUGGGGAGCAGUUAUUUUGAGACUCAGUUUUUACAGAAGUAAAAUGGGAACAAAAACAGUUCCUCUGCCUGGCUCAUAGAAUUUCUGUGAGAAUAAAAGACAAUUAAUCUUUCUAAAGAUAUAUUACAUAUAUUGUAAAGUACCACAAUUAUAAAUACAGGAGAAUACUUGCUUCUCUUCGUAUCCAUUUUU